AGACGUUUGACAACACUCUGGGACCUAGUUUGGAAUGCAAUUUCUCUUUGAGAAUUAAAACCAUAAACCUGUACUUUGUCCCUAUUUUAUCAACAAACAAGAUCAAUUGACAAUUACUCACCGAGAUAGACUUUUCCCAUGUCUAUAUUGGUCCAUUUUCACUGUCAUACAA
rnacentral:snoRNA from 1 species